UCGUCUUUUUCCAUUGCUCGGUCAGCCCAGUUCAACGGCUGAUCUUGAGCCGGAUGCCUUUACUUCGGUUCAGGUACAAGACAAGACCAAUUUAGCAACGCUUUUUGAGUACGGAAUCUUUUGUGUUUUCACCAAAUGGAGUCUUCCGUAAUUUAUCAGUUGUUACAUCU
rfam:Fusarium langsethiae strain Fl201059 Fl201059_contig4, whole genome shotgun sequence.